rnacentral:sRNA from 1 species
UCAUGAACAACGCAAAAAAUCACAUUCCAAAAAGCGUUCCUACGAGGACUUGUCUGAUGAAGUACGGAAAUCGUAAAGAGAAUGGAGAGCGAGGGCCAAAGGCUAAAGGUAUCGAUCUUGGGUGCAGUGCCUGCUUGACCUUGUGUCAGAUAGCAGGGAUUGCAAUGAUUGAUUCCACAU